ACAAGAAAUCAUCGUCAAAGCCGACGACAUUUACCGACUACUAUUCUCCUCGGUAAGUUUACGAUUGGUUUGUGAUAAAUUUCCGAGGACAUAUAACUUUUGUCGGAAUAUUCUCGGAACUUUGCGAUAAACCAACAUUCUCGGUGUUUUAUCGUAAUCUAUUGUCAGUACAUUGUCGGAAAUGAAAAAAUUCCCGACGAGCUUGUUUUCUCGGAAAGUUCCGAGAACAUGUUGUCGGUAUUUUCUCAAGACAAUCAAAAUCCCGACAUUCAAUUUGCUUAUCGGUAUGGCAUCACAAAGUUUCGUCGGAGUUCUAUCGGUAAAAGUUUAUUGAUAUCGAUUUCGUUGAGAUCCAAAUCCCUUUUUCUUCCCCAAUUAUAUUUGAGGAUUAUUUUUUUCUGAAAUGCGAUUUUAAAUAUAACACGUGGCCAAGCAAUGAGUUUUGAAGGGUCUAGAUGUGUCAUUAAAAGAAAAGAAGGGUCGAGAUGUAGAGUUUUGAAGGGUUUCUCAUGUCCACAUAUCUUAUUUUCUUAUCUACUCCUCUGUUAUUUUCUUUCUCCACAUCUCCAUCGAAGAGAAGAUCUCCUCUUGCUCAACGGCGUAAAGGGUUACGUAACUGGCUUGUUCGAUUCGUAUCACCGAUCUGCCUACUAAUCUCUGCGGAUACGUGAUUUUGUUGAGGAGCAUCACCAGUUUAAUAUUGUGAGCCGUCGGUUUGUCGGGUUAAUUUCCAUUCUGAAUUAAACCUGGAUCUGGACGAGGUGAUGCUACUGCUGCUACUUAUUCUUCAAGUUUGGUUCCAGGAAAACAACCACCUAAUACUUCCCCACACCACCGUUUAAAGACUUUGAGCUACCUCCGCCUCCACCAUCGGACCACCGUCAUUGAUUUAUUAGAUUUAAUUUGUGUAGAACUUUUAUAUUUAAUUUGUUUUUAAUAUCUAAUAUUAUAUUUAAUCUGUAUAUAAUGUAUAUUUGAUAAUUUUAAUACUAAUGUUUUAUUUA